GUGUUCACUCAAGCAGCACAUACACUAAAACUGAAACAAUACUGAGACUAGCCUGCUCCCUGUGCAAAGAUGACACACAAAUUCAUAAAAUUCAUAAAGCAUUA
ensembl:snRNA U6 U6 spliceosomal RNA